rnacentral:rRNA from 1 species
AGUGAACGCUGGCGGUAGGCCUAACACAUGCAAGUCGAACGGCAGCACAGUAAGAGCUUGCUCUUACGGGUGGCGAGAGGCGGACGGGUGAGGAAUACAACGGAAUCUACUUUUUCGUGGGGGCUAACGUAGGGAAACUUACGAUAAUACAGCAUACGACCUACGGGUGAAAGCAGGGGAUCUUCGGACCUUGCGCGUGUGAAUGGGCUGAUGGCGGAUUAGCUAGUUGGCGGGGUAAAGGCCAACCAAAGCGACGACGGGUAGCUGGCCUGAGAGGGUGAACGGCGACACGGGGACUGAGACACGGCCCAGACUCCUACGGGAGGCAGCAGUGGGGAAUAUUGCACAAUGGGCGAAAGCCUGAUGAAGAGACGCCGCGUGAGGGAUGACGGCCUUCGGGUUGUAAAACUCUUUCAGCAGGGAAGAAGCGAAAGUGACGGUACCUGCAGAAGAAGCACCGGCUAACUACGUG